rnacentral:rRNA from 1 species
UAAGAUUCCUGAAAGAUGAUCAGGUUGAUAGGUUCGAGGUGGAAGCAUGGUGACAUGUGGAGCUGACGAAUACUAAUAGAUCGAGGACUUAACCAUAUAA